rnacentral:misc_RNA from 1 species
UGACUCUUCCUGUUCAGAAUCUAGAGCAUAUUGCAUUUCAGAUAAUUAGUCAGAUGUCAUACUGUGUGGCAGUAAUUUAUCGUCCUGCUUCAUAUUCAAUGGAUGAAUUUCUUGGCUAUCUUAAAAUUUUGCUGAGUGAACUUCAUAAAGUGUCCAAUAGGUGCAUUGUAAUGGGUGAUUUUAAUGAAGACAUUCUGAAACACUGUUCAAGGAUUGAAAAGUUAAUGCAAGAUAAUGGUUAUAGACAGUGUGUUCAUGAUGAAACUACAGAAAAUGGCACAUUGAUUGACCACGUAUACAUCAGAAAUAUGGAUACUGUAGAUGCUGCAGUGAUUCCAACAUACUACAGUUAUCAUGAAGCAGUUUCCAUAAGAAUAUAAUUUGAAUACUUUUAUUGAGGACAUUCUGAAACCUAUAACAUUGAAACUGUCAAUGUGAAGUACACUAGUGUAAACUUAAAUUGUACAUGUAUUUCACAGUUGCAUGAUGUUGGCAACAUUUUGGACAUUAUAGAAGUUAGUGAUCAAGUGAAUAUCUAUUCUCGUAAAAUGUAUGAAUCUGUUUCAUCAUGAUUAACCCAAACUGUGAAGGCCCUUUAAAAAAGUUUGGUUGCAUCCUCAAAUUGUUCAAAAUAUUCUAAUUGCCACAGUGUACAAAUUGAAUACAGCCUCAAUCUGCCUAAAUAUUUUUUUUGUUUAUGACAUUUGUUCAUGGAGGGAUGAUCACUGGCUAAAUAUCCUUUAUGUGCAUACAUAAAGGUAUAUGUAUUAACGUAAUUCUGUUAAAUAAUAUAUUUUGCUGAGGUCAAAGUAGAAAUCUAAGAGAACAUAGAGACCAGAUUAGUUGAGCUUUCAUGUAGUUGCCAGUGUGCUUUCCAACAGCAUCACUCCGUAUGCCAGUAUUUGAACAUGGUUCAGAAGUCAUCAACUACAAAUCCACAUGUUUCCUGCCAGUUGCCAGUGUGCUCUCCAACAGCAUCACUCUGUAUGCCAGUAUUUGAAUGUGGUUCAGAAGUCAUCAACUACAAAUCCACAUGUUUCCUGCCAGUUGCCAGUGUGCUUUCUAACAGCAUCACUCUGUAUGCCAGUAUUUGAACAUGGUUCAGGGAAAGAUGCUGACUCUCUAGCAGAUGAAAUGAAGCAGUGCCAGCCUAUCUACUAUCACUCUGUUAGCAACAUUCAGCCUUAUGUCAUACAAGAUGAAAUUACUCUGUAAUUCUACGCUCUCAGCCACCAUUGUGAGGCCUAAUUGUCAUAUGGUUCAACCUAACAACCUUUGUGUAUGCUGGGACUUCCAAGAAGCGUGAAAUGUACAUCGAGACUCUUUCUAGGAAACUAUGUCCAAAGCAACAGUGAUCACAAUCCUAUCACUAAAUACAGUGCUUUGGAUAAAAGUGAGUCUGGAAUGAAUCAUGCACUGGAAGAGCUUGUUGCAUGCAUGUUUAUGUUAAAUCCGUUGUUUGGUACCUGAACGGUAAAACUGUUAUCUCCCAGUUCCUCAACUGGUGCAGAAAGCAACUAAAAUAUAUCAGAGUUGUGGAACAUAAUUAUGUUCAAUUUGUAUUUAUCAUAAUACAAGUACAUGCUACGUGUCAAAUACCACUGGCAGUGUACAACUGCUCAUCUUUAUGUUUGUAUGAACACAUUCAGUUUUAGUUUGAUUGUUAAAAUGGGGGGGGGGGGCUUAUUAAGCUGUGUUUAUGUACUGAGAUAAUUUCUUGUGGCAUGCCCCAGACGUGUACGUGUGGAGACGUGCUUUAAAGAUCUGAAGGUUUUUCUGCAUUCUAGAGUAUGUUUUGGGGAACAGUUUUCCCUCUUCAAUAUUUUAGCUGUAAAUGUGUAGUCUUCAUCUAAUCCAUCAGAACACUUUAUAAACGCCCUGUAACAUUUAUCAGAGACAGUUUGUACAUGUAUGCACUUAUCUUACUUUUAGAUGAAAUUGUCUUUUCCACCGUUUCUGAAGUGUUAAGAAAUUAGCUAUAUUUUCAUUGUCAAGCAUUUUGAUAGUACAUGUACUAAAAAAGGCGACAUCUAUCAUGUAGACAUUUUAAUAAUUGGUAUUUUGGUCAAUUGCCAUUGU